rnacentral:lncRNA from 1 species
CUUAGAGGAGUUUCAGGCCAGACUCGAAGAAGGAUUGGGACAUGAUGACCAUGAUAAUAGAUCGAAAAUGGGUGCACUACACAAAGCAGCCAUGGUCAACAAAUUUCUCUUUAGUCUGAGAAUUAUAUGCCAAUGCCAUUCUGAAGUUCCAGCAGUGGUUCAGGUUCGAGGCCAGGCAGUGACAUAUGACAGUGUAAUGCUCAAUGCCUUUUUUAAUACACCUAACCAUUCAGGCUCUGAUUACUUGGAAAAUAAG